UACGGAGGGUGCAAGCGUUAAUCGGAAUUACUGGGCGUAAAGCGUGCGCAGGCGGUUCGUUGUGUCGGCGGUGAAAGCCCCGGGCUCAACCUGGGAAUGGCCGUUGAAACUGGCGAACUGGAGUGUGGCAGAGGGGGGUGGAAUUCCGCGUGUAGCAGUGAAAUGCGUAGAUAUCAAGUGGAACACCAGUGGCGAAGGCGAGUCUCUGGACAUUUCCUGACGCUGAGGCACGAAAGCCAGGGGAGCAAACGGG
rnacentral:rRNA from 1 species